rnacentral:rRNA from 1 species
UACGAAGGGGGCUAGCGUUGUUCGGAAUUACUGGGCGUAAAGCGCGCGCAGGCGGUCUUCCAAGUCAGUGGUGAAAGCCCGGAGCUCAACUCCGGAACUGCCAUUGAAACUGUAAGACUUGAGGAUGAGAGAGGUGAGUGGAAUUCCCAGUGUAGAGGUGAAAUUCGUAGAUAUUGGGAAGAACACCGGUGGCGAAGGCGGCAUCCUGGACCAAUUCUGACGCUGAGGAGCGAAAGCCAGGGGAGCAAACGGG